rnacentral:tRNA from 1 species
GGGGAUGUGACUUAAUGGUAGAGUGCUUGCCUAGCAUGCAAGAAGACAUGGGUUCAAGUCCUCAGUACCA